rnacentral:lncRNA from 1 species
CUAUAUUAGUAUUGCUAAAGAACAUCCAAGUUUUGUGCUGAUUUUAUGCCUCCUUUCUCACAGAUCGCUCUGAAAGAAAUAAACCAGACUGCCGCUCUUCGAGCCAAGGACCCUUGUCAUCCAUAAGAGCAGCAAUCAAGAGAUGCCAGUGUAAUUGCUCUAAUAGCUUGCAUUAAGAGAAGACUGUAUCUAUCGCGUACUGGCAUGAGGCCUCCACCCUGAUGGCUGCUUCUGAACAGUAGUACAGUAUGUACCACAGAGAAAAUUUUCAGAAAAUGCAUUGUGUGUAUAAGAAACUAAACUGUGCAGUAU